AUCUUGCGCAAUGCGCGAAAGCGUGACGCAGCAACGCCGCGUGAGGGAAGACGGCCUUCGGGUUGUAAACCUCUUUCAGGAGGGACGAAGGUCGGCACGUUAAUAGCGUGUCCGGCUGACGGUACCUCCAGAAGAAGCCCCGGCUAACUACGUGCCAGCAGCCGCGGUAAUACGUAGGGGGCCAGCGUUGUCCGGAAUUAUUGGGCGUAAAGAGCGCGUAGGCGGUCCGGUUAGUCAGCUGUGAAACCCGGGGGCUCAACCCUCGGAGGCCGGCUGAUACUGCCGGACUAGAGUCCGGAAGAGGCGAGUGGAAUUCCUGGUGUAGCGGUGAAAUGCGCAGAUAUCAGGAGGAACACCAAUGGCGAAGGCAGCUCGCUGGGACGGUACUGACGCUGAGGCGCGAAAGCGUGGGGAGCAAAC
rnacentral:rRNA from 1 species